rnacentral:rRNA from 1 species
GGGGAAUUUUGCACAAUGGGCGCAAGCCUGAUGCAGCGACGCCGCGUGAGGGAUGGAGGCCUUCGGGUUGUAAACCUCUUUCGCUCAUGGUCAAGCCGCAACUGUGGUUGUGGUGAGGGUAGUGGGUAAAGAAGCGCCGGCUAACUACGUGCCAGCAGCCGCGGUAAUACGUAGGGCGCGAGCGUUGUCCGGAAUUAUUGGGCGUAAAGGGCUUGUAGGCGGUUUGUCGCGUCUGCCGUGAAAUUCCCUGGCUUAACUGGGGGCGUGCGGUGGGUACGGGCAGGCUUGAGUGCGGUAGGGGAGACUGGAAUUCCUGGUGUAGCGGUGGAAUGCGCAGAUAUCAGGAGGAACACCGGUGGCGAAGGCGGGUCUCUGGGCCGUUACUGACGCUGAGGAGCGAAAGCAUGGGGAGCGAAC